rnacentral:rRNA from 1 species
AUUGAACGCUGGCGGCAGGCCUAACACAUGCAAGUCGAGCGGAUGAAGGGAGCUUGCUCCUGGAUUCAGCGGCGGACGGGUGAGUAAUGCCUAGGAAUCUGCCUGGUAGUGGGGGAUAACGUCCGGAAACGGGCGCUAAUACCGCAUACGUCCUGAGGGAGAAAGUGGGGGAUCUUCGGACCUCACGCUAUCAGAUGAGCCUAGGUCGGAUUAGCUAGUUGGUGGGGUAAAGGCCUACCAAGGCGACGAUCCGUAACUGGUCUGAGAGGAUGAUCAGUCACACUGGAACUGAGACACGGUCCAGACUCCUACGGGAGGCAGCAGUGGGGAAUAUUGGACAAUGGGCGAAAGCCUGAUCCAGCCAUGCCGCGUGUGUGAAGAAGGUCUUCGGAUUGUAAAGCACUUUAAGUUGGGAGGAAGGGCAGUAAGUUAAUACCUUGCUGUUUUGAGGUUACCAACAGAAUAAGCACCGGCUAAGUUCGUG